GAUGAACGCUGGCGGCGUGCCUAAUACAUGCAAGUCGAACGAAAAGACGAGGGGUUGCAUCUUCUGACGUGAGCGGCGGGCGGGUGAGUAACAUGGGGAUAACUUACGUAUAAGAGGGGGAUAACUUCGGAAAACCGGUGAUAAUACAGACGAAUUUAGUGAACAACAGGGUUCAAUAGUGAAAGAGGGUUUUGCUGUUACUUAUAGAUGGAUCAGCGACGCAUUAGCUAGUUGGUAUGGUAACGGCUUACCAAGGCAACGAUCCGUAGCCGGUCUGAGAGGAUGACCAGCCACACUGGAACUGAGACACGGUCCAGACUCCUACGGGAGGCAGCAGUAGGGAAUCUUCGGCAAUGGGCGAAAGCCUGAUGCAGCAACGCCGCGUGAGUGAAGAAGGUCUUCGGGUUGUAAAACACUUUUGUUCGGGAAGAAAACCUUGGUAAGUAUCCAGUCAGGGCAUGACGGUACCUAAAGAGAAAGCCCCGGCUAACUACGUG
rnacentral:rRNA from 1 species